AUUGAACGCUGGCGGCAGGCUUAACACAUGCAAGUCGAGCGAGCGGCGGACGGGUGAGUAAUGUCUGGGAAACUGCCUGAUGGAGGGGGAUAACUACUGGAAACGGUAGCUAAUACCGCAUACCAUCAGAUGUGCCCAGAUGGGAGUAGCUAGUAGGUGGGGUAAUGGCUCACCUAGGCGACGAUCCCUAGCUGGUCUGAGAGGAUGACGAGCCACUCUGGAACUGGGACCAGGUCCAGACUCCUGCGAGAGGCAGCAGUGGGGAAUAGUGCACAAUGGGCGCAAGCCUGAUGCAGCCAUGCCGCGUGUGUGAAGAAGGCCUUCGGGUUGUAAAGCACUUUCAGCGAGGAGGCGUUACUCGCAGAAGAAGCACCGGCUAACUCCGUGACAGCAGCCGCGGUAAUAC
rnacentral:rRNA from 1 species